AAGACCUGCAAGACUAACUCACAUAUUCUGAAUGCAACCCAGAUGCUUUAAUUAAGCCAAGAUCUC
rnacentral:tRNA from 1 species